UACGUAGGGGGCAAGCGUUGUCCGGAUUUAUUGGGCGUAAAGCGCUCGCAGGUGGUUCGUUGCGUCGUGCGUGAAAGACCCCGGCUCAACUGGGGAGGGUCGUGCGAUACGGGCGAACUGGAGGCCAGUAGGGGGAUGCGGAAUUCCGGGUGUAGUGGUGGAAUGCGUAGAGGUCCGGAGGAACACCAGCGGCGAAGGCGGCAUCCUGGACUGGUCCUGACACUCAUGAGCGAAAGCGUGGGGAGCGAACAGG
rnacentral:rRNA from 1 species